UUUUAUUUGAGAGUUUGAUCCUGGCUCAGGAUGAACGCUGGCGGCGUGCCUAACACAUGCAAGUUGAGCGAUUUACUUCGGUAAAGAGCGGCGGACGGGUGAGUAACGCGUGGGUAACCUACCCUGUACACACGGAUAACAUACCGAAAGGUAUGCUAAUACGGGAUAAUAUAUUUGAGAGGCAUCUCUUAAAUAUCAAAGGUGAGCCAGUACAGGAUGGACCCGCGUCUGAUUAGCUAGUUGGUAAGGUAACGGCUUACCAAGGCGACGAUCAGUAGCCGACCUGAGAGGGUGAUCGGCCACAUUGGAACUGAGACACGGUCCAAACUCCUACGGGAGGCAGCAGUG
rnacentral:rRNA from 1 species